CANGUGGUUNUUAANUUUGAUUGAAAGCCCCGGNUCANCCGGGAGGGUCAUUGGAAACUGGGGAANNUGAGUGCAGAAGAGGAUAGUGGANUUCCNAGUGUAGCGGUGAAAUGCGUAGAGAUUUGGAGGAACACCAGUGGCGAAGGCGACUGUCUGGUCUGUAACUGACACUGAGGCGCGAAAGCGUGGGGAGCAAACAGGAUUAGAUACCCUGGUAGUCCACGCCGUAAACGAUGAGUGCUAAGUGUUGGGGGGUUUCCGCCCCUCAGUGCUGCAGCUAACGCAUUAAGCACUCCGCCUGGGGAGUACGGUCGCAAGACUGAAACUCAAAGGAAUUGACGGGGGCCCGCACAAGCGGU
rnacentral:rRNA from 1 species